rnacentral:rRNA from 1 species
AGAAUCAACGCUGGCGGCGUGCCUAACACAUGCAAGUCGAACGAGAAAGUGGAGCAAUCCAUGAGUAAAGUGGCGACCGGGUGAGUAACACGUGACUAACCUACCUUCGAGUGGGGGAUAACCCCGGGAAACCGGGGCUAAUACCGCAUAACAUCGCAAGAUCAAAGCAGCAAUGCGCUGGAAGAGGGGGUCGCGGCUGAUUAGCUAGUUGGCGGGUAACGCCCACCAAGGCGAAGAUCGGUAUCCGGCCUGAGAGGGCGCACGGACACACUGGAACUGAAACACGGUCCAGACUCCUACGGGAGGCAGCAGUGGGGAAUUUUGCGCAAUGGGGGAAACCCUGACGCAGCAACGCCGCGUGGAGGAUGAAGCCCCUUGGGGCGUAAACUCCUUUCGACCAAGACGAUAAUGACGGUACUGGUGGAAGAAGCACCGGCUAACUCUGCGCCAGCAGCCGC